UGACACCUCUACAAGCCUGUCAGCUGUAGAUAUGCCCUCUUCAGCAGGAGGAGAAGAUCUUCCAUCCCCGUUUGCUGACAUCCCUGCUCUAUUACAUGACCACAGCUACCUCCUCGUCCGCUUCGAUGGUCUUGUGGACAGCGCUCUGGUGUACAUUUCAGUUAAAGGCUGACUGAAAGAUUUGUUGUGCGACGGGCUCUGAAGAAGCUGUCCUGUGACGCUGCAUCUGCCAUUAAGGACCAGAGCUACCACCUGCUGAUUUUAAAACAACAUUGAGGUCUGGCGAUUCCCUCAGAAGGCACAGUGAGGGUCAGCAGAGUAGGUCAUUCGUCAGGCAUCAGCCAGUACCAGACGAUCACAGCCCAUCAAACUGCUAGAGGUCGUGUACAUUGUACGGAAGAGCAUAGGGCCAGAGGAUUUGUUUGUGGAAACGCAGUAUGGCAUAGACGGCCACCACCAUACGCUGUUAACAUUAGUUGUGUCCCUGCACCACAUCGCUAAAUUGACUAACCUUACCUUACAGAGCAACCACAUGCUACAGAACAAAACCGUCCUUUUCAAAGGGCGUAAGCCCUUUUUGUUUAUGUCCUCCACAGUUGUGUAGUUCUCUCUACAUGGUGGGGAUUUCAACAAACAGGAUUUCUUUAUGUAUAUUUGUAAAGGGGAAUCUUUGCAAAUAAAUGCCACUUUUUAAAAAAGUUAAAAAA